UUGGGAGGCGAGGAGUGGGUCCCAGCUUCUUUGUGAAGAUCAGCAUGGCACCAUCUUCUGAGAGAGACUUCAGGAGGAGGAACAGGUUAUAUGGGAUCCAAGGGAGUGCUUUAUGUGGACAUUUUGAUGGUCAGUUGAGUUUUGGAAUCUCUCAAAACCAGGGAUGACCCCUACUCUCUUCUGUAGGCCACACCCUAGUUCUGUUUAACAUAACACGAACAUUUCAGGGCAUCAAGAAUUGAAGAUCCAUAAAGAUAUCAUACUCUCUUUGGCUCCUUUCUGAAUGAGCAUUUGAUCACAUUUAGAUUCUGUCCACAUAACCCCAGCCUUCUGUCCGGCGUUGGGAACUUGGACUGCGUGAGUGGUCCUGAGCCCGAGCAGCUGUGACUCACCGUGCGAGGAGUCAUCCACAGAGGGGACGAGGUCUGUUCUCCAGCUGAAUGCAUCCCCAGCUCUCCAUCUACUCCAAAAUUUCCAAAGGCAGCGCUGGAGACAAAAUUAACUCACAACUUCCCCCAAUGCUCCCUUCCAUUAGGACAAUGGCUCUCAGCCCUGCUAGCCCUUGAUCACCUGAGAAACUUUAAAGCACACAGAUGCCCAGACCUUGCCUACAGAGAUGCUAGUUUAGUCGUUCUGGAAUGAGCCCUUGGCAUGCAACCAAACUGGUUGCCAGGUGAUUUUAAUGAGCAGCCAGGCCUGAGAGCCACCACAUUAUACCUUACCCUGCCAACGUCUUCCCGUAGGCAAAUCCUAUUAGCCCAAGACAUGGAGCCGGUCUUCUCUUUAAAUAAAUGUGACCUCCAGGCUGAACUGGAAAGACUUCCCAACAAAAGCAAGGACCUUAUAUAUGUUAUUCUUUUUCCUGCACAGAAAUAUGGCUUCACUCGGAAAGGAUGCAGUGACCUUCGGCACACUUUCCUUAGAAACGAAAGGUCUAUGAGCAUUUCUUACCAUUUAGAGCAAUAACAUUAGUAUUUAAUUCUUAGUUUCUGCUCAGUAGAAAUAAUUGGUCCAUCCUUUGCCCCUUGUGGGUUUUUAUUUUUGUUGGAUCUAGAGAAGGAUUUUCUAAUGCUCAAGCUGCUUAACAACAGUGGAGUUAUCUUGAGAGAGUCUAGGGUUUGUGGAAGGAGAGUGUGCCCUGGGAUGCAUGUACAUGAGUCCAUCCAGCAUGUCAUCACUAGGCACCUACCUGCUCUAGGUAAGGCGUGGUCUGGUCCCCAUGGGCCCCGGGUUAGGGGGCCCAAGCUCCACAGUGGCACCAGCCUGCAUUCGGGAAACCACUCUCUAAGAAGACUGAUUAUGACACGGUUGGCACAGCAUCACAGAGCCUUCCCAGCCUUUUAUUCUGAGUUGGGUCCUCUCCCUGAGAUCAACCUGAGCCUUACUCCUCUACGCUGGAGCUGGAGCCCCUGCCUCAAACCCAUACAGGUCCGGGAAGCCACACUGCAGUUGUGCAACUAUGUGCUUCACUGCAGGAAGCGUGUGGAUUCCUGAGGACACAUGUCCUGACAUCUGUCCUCCCAGCCCCAGCAAGGCAGGGCGCAGCUCCAUUACUUGCUGUGGAAGGUGCGUCGUCCAGGAGGCCUUUAGGGCUGGUCAGAGUGGGGCGGCUGAGUCCUAGGGCUGCGGGGGUCCUUCCUGUUCAUUUGCACCACCUCGAGAUAAUCGGCUAAAUGCUCUCUGACCCUAAAAUCUUUGAAGAUACAUGUGGGGAAUAUUGGCCAAGAAUGGGGAGGAAUCAACCCAAAUUGUUCCUGAUGACGGCCCAGUAUUGAGACAGUGUUUUAUAUGAUUCCAAACAGAGGACGCUUUUCCCCGUGAACUGUCCAUUCUCUGGGGAAAGUUCCAAGUGAUUGGCCGAAGCUCCGUGUGACAUGCUCAGGCGAUAGACCGACUGUCCUGGCUGAUUGUACGUCAGUCUAUAGGACUCACGAGCGGGUCUUCUCCCGACAGCGGAUCAUCGACAUCAAGAAAACAUCACAACCGUGUUUGCAAGUCAGGCCCCACAGCAUGUCUCUGGUCCAGGAAUACUUGCCACCUCUUCCCCUUCUCAACAGCUCCAUUUAACAUUUCUGCUCCUCACGCUAAUGCUUCAUGCACUUUGUUUGUAAACUAGAAAUCCAAAUGAAUUAAGGAGAAGGGGACGAUGGAGAACGUGGCCAGAUCAUUUCGAUUCUGGCCACAGAGUUGCUGCAGAGGCGUGAACUUGCUGCACGGAUGUUCCUCCGGGAGGCCUGUAGCUGCCCCUACAGAGGCCAAUUUGGGAUGAUUUCCUUCGAUACUCGAGUCACAGAGCAUUCACUACCUGAAAUAAGAAGUACAGGAUUUAAGAUCAUAAACUUUUCCUGAACAUACUUGCAUCUCAGCCCAUCAUGUGGUUCUUAGGAGAUUCCCUGAGGCCCUCCUUGAGCUGUGGGGCCCAUCGCCACUGGGUGAGCUGCCAGAAGACCAUCCUUUGCUUCUCUGGGUCCACAAAGCCUGCUCUGGACCAGAGACUAGACCGUCUCAAACCCAGGCAGAAGGCCAGGCGGGGCGUCGAUGAUGCCCAGGUGGCGUGGCUUCUGGAGACGGAGAAGAGGCAUCGGGCGGGCCCCUGAGACCCCAACAAGGCUCUUGGCUGACAUCAGGCUGUGCAGCUACAUCCUUGAGGUAAUUGGCUCUGCCACACGUCACUCUCUGCGGAGACGUCAAGCCACCUGGCACCGGGCUGGGGUCCCACCAUUCGAGAACAGAAGCACGAGGGUCCUGUGGGUGUGGACCUGGUGGCCUGUUUGCUAUUCACGGGGGGCCGGCUGGAAGGGAGGUGCGGGGCUGAGCAAGUGCAGGCUCGGACCGGGGUCGCCGUCCCUACCAGGCCGUCAGAGGGGUCGGAGGGGUCGGAGGUCCAGAGUCCUGCUCCGUGGAGGCCCCCUGUUCCCGGGGU